AGAGUUUGAUCAUGGCUCAGGACGAGCGCUGGCGGCGUGCUUAACACAUGCAAGUCGAACGGUGAGGCCCUUCGGGGUACACGAGUGGCGAACGGGUGAGUAACACGUGGGUAAUCUGCCCUGCACAUCGGGAUAAGCCUGGGAAACUGGGUCUAAUACCGAAUAGGACCACAGGACACAUGUCCUGUGGUGGAAAGCUUUUGCGGUGUGGGAUGGGCCCGCGGCCUAUCAGCUUGUUGGUGGGGUGAUGGCCUACCAAGGCGACGACGGGUAGCCGGCCUGAGAGGGUGUCCGGCCACACUGGGACUGAGAUACGGCCCAGACUCCUACGGGAGGCAGCAGUGGGGAAUAUUGCACAAUGGGCGAAAGCCUGAUGCAGCGACGCCGCGUGGGGGAUGACGGCCUUCGGGUUGUAAACCUCUUUCACCAUCGACGAAGGUCCGGGUUUUCUCGGGCUGACGGUAGGUGGAGAAGAAGCACCGGCCAACUACGUGCCAGCAGCCGCGGUAAUACGUAGGGUGCGAGCGUUGUCCGGAAUUACUGGGCGUAAAGAGCUCGUAGGUGGUUUGUCGCGUUGUUCGUGAAAUCUCACGGCUUAACUGUGAGCGUGCGGGCGAUACGGGCAGACUUGAGUACUGCAGGGGAGACUGGAAUUCCUGGUGUAGCGGUGGAAUGCGCAGAUAUCAGGAGGAACACCGGUGGCGAAGGCGGGUCUCUGGGCAGUAACUGACGCUGAGGAGCGAAAGCGUGGGGAGCGAACAGGAUUAGAUACCCUGGUAGUCC
rnacentral:rRNA from 1 species